rnacentral:rRNA from 1 species
GUAGGUGGCAAGCGUUGUCCGGAAUUAUUGGGCGUAAAGCGCGCGCAGGCGGUUCUUUAAGUCUGAUGUGAAAGCCCACGGCUCAACCGUGGAGGGUCAUUGGAAACUGGAGAACUUGAGUACAGAAGAGGAAAGCGGAAUUCCACGUGUAGCGGUGAAAUGCGUAGAGAUGUGGAGGAACACCAGUGGCGAAGGCGGCUUUCUGGUCUGUAACUGACGCUGAGGCGCGAAAGCGUGGGGAGCAAACAGGGAUUAGAUACCCUGGUAGUCCACGCCGUAAACGAUGAGUGCUAAGUGUUAGGGGGUUUCCCGCCCCUUAGUGCUGCAGCUAACGCAUUAAGCACUCCGCCUGGGGGGUUACGGCCGCAAGGCUG